AUCCUUUUGUAGUUCAUAAGCGUGAUGAUUGGGUUUUCAUGCUCAUGUGUGGGAUGUGCCUCCCUCAAACCUUGUUAUGAUGUCGACACAUUACCAGUCUGAUG
rnacentral:snoRNA from 1 species